UGUAGUGUGGGAGUUCCUGGCCAGUGGGCAGCUUGCUUCCUGUGGUUAAUCAGAAACCCAGACCCCUACAAUUGUGUGGAUCUGCAACCCACUGGGGCCACACAGGUGAAGACCUAAGCUGUGAAUAGCACAAAGUCUUCAGGGAAUGUUCCUUCCUGGGCAAAAGGGGAAUGGGGGAGUUGAACAUUUUCCAUGUUAUCAGCCACUGACCAAGUCUUCCCCAAAUGAAGUGAUCUCCUGGAACUAAGCUGCCAUCACCUGCUUGGUUUUUCAGCAUUGCUUGCCAUCUGGUCCCAGAUCCCCCAUGAGGCCGGAGGGCACAGUGGUUAGAAGCCAAGCUGCCUACGUUCAUAUCCAGACUCUACCACUCACCAGCUCUGUGGCCUUGGGCAAGUUCAUCAACCUCUCAUGCCUUAGAUUCCGCACC